UACGUAGGCAGCGGAGCGAUUGUUCGGAGUUACUAGGGCGUGAAAGGUGCGAUGAGGUGGCGCUGUAAGUGGGGUGGUGGAAAUCCCGGGACUUAACUCCGGAACCGUGAUUCCAUAACUGCGGUGACUUGAGGACUGGAGAGGAGACUGGAAUUUACGGUGUAGCAGUGAAAUGCGUAGAGAUCGUAAGGAAGACCAGUGGCGAAGCGGGUCUCUGGAUAAGUUCCUGGACACUGAAGGCACGGAAGGCCAAGGGGAGCAAACGGG
rnacentral:rRNA from 1 species